rnacentral:rRNA from 1 species
UACGUAGGAUGCAAGCGCUGUCCGGAUUUAUUGGGUUUAAAGGGUGCGUAGGCGGCUUAUUAAGUUAGGGGUGAAAACGUUCGGCUUAACCGAAUACCCGCCAUUGAUACUGAUAGACUUGAGUGCGACAGAGGGUGUUGGAAUGUGUGGUGUAGCGGUGAAAUGCUUAGAUAUCACGCAGAACACCAAUUGCGAAUGCAGAUGCCUAUGUCGUAACUGACGCUGAGGCACGAAAGCGUGGGGAGCAAACAGG